GACGAACGCUGGCGGCGUGCUUAACACAUGCAAGUCGAACGGAAAGGCCCUGCUUUUGUGGGGUGCUCGAGUGGCGAACGGGUGAGUAACACGUGAGUAACCUGCCCUUGACUUUGGGAUAACUUCAGGAAACUGGGGCUAAUACCGGAUAGGAGCUCCUGCUGCAUGGUGGGGUUUGGAAAGUUUCGGCGGUUGGGGAUGGACUCGCGGCUUAUCAGCUUGUUGGUGGGGUAGUGGCUUACCAAGGCUUUGACGGGUAGCCGGCCUGAGAGGGUGACCGGCCACAUUGGGCCUGCGCUACGGCCCAGACUCCUACGGGAGGCAGCAGUGGGGAAUAUUGCACAAUGGGCGGAAGCCUGAUGCAGCAACGCCGCGUGCGGGAUGACGGCCUUCGGGUUGUAAACCGCUUUCGCCUGUGACGAAGCGUGAGUGACGGUAAUGGGUAAAGAAGCACCGGCUAACUACGUG
rnacentral:rRNA from 1 species